UACAGAGGGUGCGAGCGUUAAUCGGAAUUACUGGGCGUAAAGCGCACGUAGUCGGCUUUGCAAGUCGGGUGUGAAAUCCCCGGGCUCAACCUGGGAACUGCAUCCGAGACUGCAUUGCUAGAGUAUGGGAGAGGGAAGCGGAAUUUCUGGUGUAGCAGUGAAAUGCGUAGAUAUCAGGAGGAACACCGGUGGCGAAGGCGGCUUUCUGGACGACAACUGACGCUGAGACGCGAAAGCGUGGGGAGCAAACAGG
rnacentral:rRNA from 1 species